UACGUAGGGUGCAAGCGUUGUCCGGAAUUAUUGGGCGUAAAGAGCUUGUAGGCGGUUUGUCGCGUCUGCUGUGAAAUUUCGGGGCUCAACCCCGAACUUGCAGUGGGUACGGGCAGACUAGAGGUAGGUAGGGGAGAAUGGAAUUCCCGGUGUAGCGGUGAAAUGCGCAGAUAUCGGGAGGAACACCGGCGGCGAAGGCGGCACUCUGGGCCGGUACUGACGCUGAGGAGCGAAAGCGUGGGUAGCAAACAGG
rnacentral:rRNA from 1 species